rnacentral:lncRNA from 1 species
CCCAGGAAUUGCUGCCAAAGUCGGCCUUUGGUGCAGCUGUAAGUCGGAUGGAAUCCACCUUCCUGACGUCAGACCCACCCACUGGAACACUGCUCCUCUGACUGGGGCUUCCCUGAAUGGAAACUACAUGUCAUACUGCAAAAGACAGGGUCUCACUAUGUUGCCCAGGCUGGUCUCAAAUUCCUUCUCAAGUGAUCCUCCCACCUCAACCUCCCAAAGUGCUGGGAUUGCAGGCAUGAGCCACUGCACCCAGCAGAAAUUCUUAACGAGGCAAGGCCAACAGAGGCCAUUCAUUCAACAUCACGGCACCAUAGUGGCCUCUUUUUAAGACUCCUCAGGUUCCAGAUAGAUUUCAUCACUCAAGAUAAGCAAAUGAACCACAGAAUUUUGAAGUUAGAGGUAAUUACAGCAAUGAUCUUAGCCAGCCCCCAUACAUUUUGGGACACACAGGUUCAGGACUGCCUGCCCUGGAGCUGAUUCCAUAAGAUACCCAAACAACUUCUGAAAGAGAAAAAAGUCUUUGUCUCAGUUUCUGCUCUCCAGAGGUAACCCAAAGAGGUAAGGAACCCAGUGAGAAAGACAGAGAGAAGUAUGGACAAGAAACAGAUCCUAAACCUGUUUUGUUUUAUUUUUGGUAGUAGUUGUUUAUUUUUGAAAACAUUCAAACCACCUGUAUUGGUGGCUGUUAUUAUGAAAUAAAUAAACUGAGAAA